rnacentral:rRNA from 1 species
UACAGAGGGGGCGAGCGUUGUUCGGAAUUACUGGGCGUAAAGGGCGCGUAGGCGGCCCGCUAAGUCGAACGUGAAAUCCCCAGGCUCAACCUGGGAACUGCGUCCGAUACUGGCAGGCUUGAAUCCGGGAGAGGGAUGUGGAAUUCCAGGUGUAGCGGUGAAAUGCGUAGAUAUCUGGAGGAACACCGGUGGCGAAGGCGGCAUCCUGGACCGGUAUUGACGCUGAGGCGCGAAAGCUAGGGAGCAAACGGG